rnacentral:rRNA from 1 species
CUAUUUCCUCAAAUCAGGUAGGACUACCCGCUGAACUUAA